rnacentral:lncRNA from 1 species
AGAAUACUGAUAAUCUAAGCAAGGAGUAAGUGAAGCUCCCAGCCUCAGUGCUCGGCAGUGGGCACAUCUGAUGUGGCUUCAAUCCUCCUCGGGGCCUGGGUGCUGCUGUUGAUAGUAUUAUGCACAAAAUUUCAAAGUGACAGAGAAAUACCAGCUGGCUAGAAAAACAACAUAGUGAAGACAGAGGACACAUGGACAGGGCACCAGAAAGAUUCACUAUGUUCACCUGGAAAGACUGAGCAGCAACCUUGAGUAAGAGGAACAAGGCUGGAGGCAUCGCGCUACCUGAUUUCAAGUUUUCUUACUGGGUGUAGUGGUCAGGGCAGCGUAGGAUAAAAUGCACUUGUAGACCAAUGGAGCAGAAUGAGUAGCCCAGAGAUAAACCUACAGACGCACAGUCCUGAUUUUCUAUGAAAGCAUCAAGAAUACACAAUAUUUGGGGUGGGAAGAUUCGGCCUCUUCGAUAAAAGCUGUUGGGAGGACUGAUAUCCACAUUAUGCAGAAGAGUGAAGAGUUGGAUCUUCAUGACACAUCAUGCAAGGAAUCCAACUUGGGAUGGAAUAAAGGUUAAACUUCAGGACCCAAAACCAUGGAAUUUCCAUAAGAAAACCCAGGGAAAUGCCUCGUGACAUUGGCCAAGACAAUAACUUUUGGAUAUGACACCAAAAGCACAGGCAACAAAAGCAAAAAUAAGCAAGAUUUCAUCCAAUGAAAAUGCUUCUGUACUGCAAGCAAUCAAUGGAUGAAAAGCAAACUAUAAAAUGGGAGCAAAUAUUUGCAAAACAUGCAUCUGAUGAAGGGUUAAUAUCCAAAAUACACAAGAACUCACACAAUAGCAGGGGGAAAGAAGAGUGACCUGAUUGAAGAUGGGCAAGGGUGGACUUUUCUUCUCCCAGGGGAACAGAGGGUUAGCCAAUAGGCGUUUACAAGGGAAAGCUCAGAAUCUCUGGGCAUUAGUGAAAUGCAAACCAGAGCCACAGUGCACCUCACACCUGUUAAGAUAACUAUCAUUUAAAAAAACAAGAUGCAAGUGUCCGCCAUGAUGUGGAGAAAGGGGAGCCCUUGCA